ACUCUCGUGUCAGAGUUUGAUCCUGGCUCAGGAUGAACGCUGGCGGCGUGCUUAACACAUGCAAGUCGAACGAAGCACUUAUGACAGAUUCUUUGGAUGAUGAAUUAAGUGACUGAGUGGCGGACGGGUGAGUAACGCGUGGGUAACCUGCCUCAUACAGGGGGAUAACAGUUAGAAAUGACUGCUAAUACCGCAUAAGCGCACAGUACCGCAUGGUACGGUGUGAAAAACUCCGGUGGUAUGAGAUGGACCCGCGUCUGAUUAGCUAGUUGGUGGGGUAACGGCCCACCAAGGCGACGAUCAGUAGCCGACCUGAGAGGGUGACCGGCCACAUUGGGACUGAGACACGGCCCAA
rnacentral:rRNA from 1 species